rnacentral:tRNA from 1 species
AUUUAAUAUGGCAGAUUAGUGCAAUGGAUUUAAAUUCCUUAUAAAAAGAAAUCAACUCUUUUAUUAAAA